UCAGUUUUUCGAUGAUGUUUAGAUCCACAGAUGAAUAUAUUCUUUAAAAUUGUUUAAUCUUGAGAUGUCUCAAAGUCAUGAUGUUAAAGAGUUGUCUAUUAUAAUCAUGUAGCACUUAAGAAUUGUCUUAUGUAAUCCCAGUAUUGUAUAGAAUUGUCUGUCAGAUGUUAAAACUGUAUGUAAAACAUUGUCCCAUGUUAUCCAGAUUUGGUUAGGAAUUGUCUGGUGUAAAUUAUCUGGUGUAAUCCUGUCAUUGUCAAGAACUGUUUGAUGUAAUCCCAGUAUGUUCCAGGAACUGUAUGUUGUAAUCCCAAGAUGAUUAGAGAAGUUAAAUUCUCAAGGUGGUUAGAAAUAAUCAUUUCAAUCCCAAGAUGAUUAGGGAUUGUCUUAUAUAAUCACAAGAUGAGUAGAGAUUGGCUGUUGUAAUCCCAAGAUGGUUUUGAAUUGUCGGAUAUCAUCACAAGAUGAUAAGGAAUUAUCUGUAUCAUCCCAAGAUGUUGAAGGAUUGUCUGAUAUAAUCCCAAGAUGAUAAGGAAUUAUCUAAUAAAAUCCCAAGAUGGAUUUUCUGGUGUAAUCCUGAGAUGAUUAAAGAUUUACUUGACAUAAUGACAAGAUUAUUAGGAUUAAUUGUCUGAUGUUAAGGAAUUGUCUUGGGAUAAUUGUAUUCUGAAGAUGGAUAUUAUGGGCUGCCUCAAGUUAUGCUGUUAAGGUCAAUUUGUGUUAUCCAAAGAAGUUUUGGUACCCUUAUUUUUUUUUUAUUGCUUCAAAUGUUCAUUUUAUACGUAAUUAUAUUUUUGUACAUCAAAUUUACAUAUAUUUUGGAAAAAAAAACUUUACUGGAAGCCUAGUUGAAAGAACAAAUUGCCUUAUGAAUACUGAACAUGAUGAAUAUUCCAAUCUAACUGAUAUAUAAUCCCACAAGCGUCAGAAUUGUGGUGUAUGUGCUGAAUAGAGGUUUGCUUUCAUGUUCCAAUUGCCAAGUCCCAUAACUUUGAUAUUAAAACUUUACGCUGGUGCUAUUUUACACACUGUAGAACUUAGCUGUGUUCAGUUGAUGUGUUUGUCAUAUAUUUCUCCUGUGGGGAAUUUAUAACCUAGAAAAAAGAAAAACAAUAGAGAAAAAAUAUAAACAGGCAUAUUCCAUAUAUUAUAUUUACUUUAUGAAUUAUAUACUGUAAAUUAAUUCUUUUUGCAGUUUCUUUGUGUUGAUUUUGAACAGGAACAAAUCUUUGAUUAUUAAUAUUAAUUUAUUUGUGCUACAUUGAAAACAUUCUGUAUUUAUUUAUAACUGUAUGAAGAUCAUUGUAGAUUAUGAUUAUCAAAACUUAUUGGAACAAAAAUUAUUUUGUAAAAUAUAGUUAAUUUGGUUGUGUAUUCUCAGCUUGAAGAUUGUAUUUUCUUAUGCUUAUAUAUAAACAACCAACCACCUCAGUUUCUUUUGUGAUAUGUAGACAUUGUUUUGUAAUGUGCUCAUAAUGAAAAUAAAAUUGUUUUUAUUUAUAA